GGAGCCGAAUGCAAAAGAGGACCGCAAGAGCGGGCCUAAGUAAGCAAGACAGCCACAUAAGGCAAAAGGCAACAGAAGGCCACGAAAGGCCAAGAGAACCACAAACUACGCAUACAUCCGGUAGCGACAAAAGUGAAGAACUGUCAAGGAAGCAGCCAUGUAGAUGAAGAGUAUCCAAACAGCAAACACCAGGCUAGGGCCCUGCAGAAGUAGAAUAGUCCCUAGCUGAAAAAAUGAUUGGAUCAAUACCCCAGCUACGCUGUAGCCUCCGGUUUCUAUAUGUAUCAUCCACAUUCCUGUAGGUGGUGGCCUUGUCUCUAACGACCUUGAUGAGUUGAUUCUUCACCUCU
rnacentral:lncRNA from 1 species